rnacentral:rRNA from 1 species
UGGGGAAUUGUUCACAAUGGGCGCAAGCCUGAUGACGCAACGCCGCGUGGGGGAUGAAGGUCUUCGGAUUGUAAACCCCUGUCGAAUGGGACGAAAGACUCGCGAGUUAAUACUUCGCGGGAGUGACGGUACCGUUAAAGGAAGCCACGGCUAACUCUGUGCCAGCAGCCGCGGUAAUACAGAGGUGGCAAGCGUUGUUCGGAAUUACUGGGCGUAAAGGGCGCGUAGGCGGCCUACUAAGUCAGACGUGAAAUCCCCCGGCUUAACCUGGGAACUGCGUCUGAUACUGGAAGGCUUGAGUAUGGGAGAGGGAUGUAGAAUUCCAGGUGUAGCGGUGAAAUGCGUAGAUAUCUGGAGGAAUACCGGUGGCGAAGGCGGCAUCCUGGACCAUUACUGACGCUGAGGCGCGAAAGCUAGGGGAGCAAACGGGAUUAGAUACCCAUGUAGUCCCUGAGCGGGCUGGCAAGGCGCAU